UACAGAGGCCUCAAGCGUUAGGCGGAAUCACUGGGCUUAAAGCGCGUGUAGGUGGACUUUUAAGUGCUUUGUGAAAUCCCACGGCUCAACCGUGGAACUGCUGGGCAUACUGGAAGUCUUGGGCUAUCUAGGGGCAACUGGAAUUCUUGGUGUAGCGGUGAAAUGCGUAGAUAUCAAGAGGAACACCUGCGGCGAAGGCGGGUUGCUGGGCCGACACUGACGCUGAGGCGCGAAAGCCAGGGGAGCGAACGGG
rnacentral:rRNA from 1 species